UUGAACGCUGGCGGCAUGCCUUACACAUGCAAGUCGAACGGCAGCACGGGGGGUAACCCCUGGUGGCGAGUGGCGAACGGGUGAGUAAUAUAUCGGAACGUGUCCUGUAGCGGGGGAUAACCUAUCGAAAGAUGGACUAAUACCGCAUACGACCUACGGGUGAAAGCGGAGGACCGCAAGGCUUCGCACUAUAGGAGCGGCCGAUAUCGGAUUAGCUAGUUGGCGGGGUAACGGCCCACCAAGGCGACGAUCCGUAGCUGGUCUGAGAGGACGAUCAGCCACACUGGAACUGAGACACGGUCCAGACUCCUACGGGAGGCAGCAGUGGGGAAUUUUGGACAAUGGGCGCAAGCCUGAUCCAGCCAUGCCGCGUGAGUGAAGAAGGCCUUCGGGUUGUAAAGCUCUUUCGGCGGGGACGAAACGGUUCGUGCUAAUACCACGGACUACUGACGGUACCCGCAGAAGAAGCACCGGCUAACUACGU
rnacentral:rRNA from 1 species